rnacentral:rRNA from 1 species
CUAUCCCGAGUGCCAUCCGCUGAGGAAGGCUUUUACCCAGUCUAGAACGCUGGGGGAAUAAGGAGAGGGCAAGUCUGGUGUCAGCCGCCGCGGUAAUACCAGCUCUCCGAGUGGUGUGGAUGUUUAUUGGGCCUAAAGCAUCCGUAGCUGGCUAGGUAAGUCCCUUGUUAAAUCCACCGAAUUAAUCGUUGGAUCGCGGGGGAUACUGCUUGGCUAGGGGACGAGAGAGGCAGACGGUAUUUUCGGGGUAGGGGUGAAAUCCUAUAAUCCCGGGAAGACCACCAGUGGCGAAGGCUGUCUGCUAGAACGCGCCCGACGGUGAGGGAUGAAAGCUGGGGGAGCGAACCGGAUUAUAUACCCGGGUAGUCCCAGCUGUAAACGAUGCAGACUAGGUGUUUGGACGGCCACGUGCCGUUCUAGUGCCGCAGGGAAGCUGUUAAGUCUGCCGCCUGGGGAGUACGAUCGCAAGAUUGAAACUUA